AAAAAGCAUCUCUUCUUUCCCCCACCCCCUAUCGCAAGCAACUAGCUUAGUAGUUUGACUUCAAUCAAAAUGAGUUUUUUAAGAUCAGUCAGCCUGCCAUUCUUACUGUCUUUGACACAUCCUUUCAUCUCAUUUUACCUCGGAUGUUAAGGAGGACUUAACGGCCAUCUCAUACUCGUACUUCUAUCAGCUCACUCGCCCGUCAUCACUACGCAACCAGGAUCCCAAGACUCCGUCCGAUUUCUAGUAGGACGGUCUCAGUCCCGAGAGCCAAGCUGAAGGUUGAAAGUCUCCUACCACCUGCACUCUUUUAACGGUUAGCUUUGGAUGGUUGGCUUUCGGAUAGUACAUAUGAUGUGAUGAGUGAGACUUCCUGUGCUUCGGCUUAGUUUACUACUUUAUUUCACGUUAUUUCACGGGAUUUUCCAUUUUGUAAUGUAAUAAAGAGUGUUCCUUGCUUCUUACCGCUCCUAUUCGAGUGGCUGGAGUCGGGUAACUCUAGGAGAAAGGGCGUAACUUUAGAAAAGGAUAAG
rnacentral:misc_RNA from 1 species